rnacentral:rRNA from 1 species
UGGGGAAUAUUGGGCAAUGGGCGAAAGCCUGACCCAGCAAUGCCGCGUGAGUGAAGAAGGUCUUCGGAUUGUAAAGCUCUUUGAUUAGGGACGAAAAAAUGACUGUACCUAAAGAACAAGCCCCGGCUAACUACGUGCCAGCAGCCGCGGUAAUACAUAGGGGGCAAGCGUUGUCCGGAAUUAUUGGGCGUAAAGGGUGCGUAGGUGGUUUAGCAAGUUGGAAGUGAAAUACCCAGGGCUUAACUCGGGUGCUGCUUUCAAAACUACUAGACUUGAGUGUGGGAGAGAAUAGUGGAAUUCCUAGUGUAGCGGUGGAAUGCGUAGAUAUUAGGAGGAACACCAGUGGCGAAGGCGACUAUUUGGCCCAUAACUGACACUGAGGCACGAAAGCGUGGGGAGCAAACAGG